CAUGCCUUACACAUGCAAGUCGAACGGCAGCACGGGAGCUUGCUCCUGGUGGCGAGUGGCGAACGGGUGAGUAAUAUAUCGGAACGUGCCCUAGAGUGGGGGAUAACUAGUCGAAAGAUUAGCUAAUACCGCAUACGAUCUACGGAUGAAAGUGGGGGAUCGCAAGACCUCAUGCUCGUGGAGCGGCCGAUAUCUGAUUAGCUAGUUGGUGAGGUAAAGGCUUACCAAGGCAUCGAUCAGUAGCUGGUCUGAGAGGACGACCAGCCACACUGGGACUGAGACACGGCCCAGACUCCUACGGGAGGCAGCAGUGGGGAAUUUUGGACAAUGGGGGCAACCCUGAUCCAGCAAUGCCGCGUGAGUGAAGAAGGCCUUCGGGUUGUAAAGCUCUUUUGUCAGGGAAGAAACGGUGAGGGCUAAUAUCCUUUGCUAAUGACGGUACCUGAAGAAUAAGCACCGGCUAACUACGUGCCAGCAGCCGCGGUAAUACGUAGGGUGCAAGCGUUAAUCGGAAUUACUGGGCGUAAAGCGUGCGCAGGCGGUUAUGCAAGACAGAUGUGAAAUCCCCGGGCUCAACCUGGGAAUUGCAUUUGUGACUGUAUGGCUAGAGUGUGUCAGAGGGGGGUAGAAUUCCACGUGUAGCAGUGAAAUGCGUAGAUAUGUGGAGGAAUACCGAUGGCGAAGGCAGCCCCCUGGGAUAACACUGACGCUCAUGCACGAAAGCGUGGGGAG
rnacentral:rRNA from 1 species